rnacentral:rRNA from 1 species
GACGAACGCUGGCGGCGUGCCUAAUACAUGCAAGUCGUAGCGAAUCUUGAGGAGCUUGCUCCUUAAGGUUAGCGGCGGACGGGUGAGUAACACGUGGGCAACCUGCCUGUAAGACUGGGAUAACACCGGGAAACCGGUGCUAAUACCGGAUAAUUUUUCACCUCUCAUGAGGUGAAGCUAAAAGUCGGUUUCGGCUGACACUUACAGAUGGGCCCGCGGCGCAUUAGCUAGUUGGUGAGGUAACGGCUCACCAAGGCGACGAUGCGUAGCCGACCUGAGAGGGUGAUCGGCCACACUGGGACUGAGACACGGCCCAGACUCCUACGGGAGGCAGCAGUAGGGAAUCUUCCGCAAUGGACGAAAGUCUGACGGAGCAACGCCGCGUGAGUGAUGAAGGCCUUCGGGUCGUAAAACUCUGUUGUUAGGGAAGAACAAGUACCGGAGUAACUGCCGGUACCUUGACGGUACCUAACCAGAAAGCCACGGCUAACUACGUGCCAGCAGCCGCGGUAAUACGUAGGUGGCAAGCGUUGUCCGGAAUUAUUGGGCGUAAAGCGCGCGCAGGCGGUCCUUUAAGUCUGAUGUG